UCCAAGUUCAGGAGGUAGAUAGUACAAGCUCUGAAAAUGAAACUGAAAGAACAAUAAAAUUAGAACCAUUAUCAGAUAAUGAAGAAGAUGAUUUUGAUGAUUGGGAACCAGUAACACCCAGAAUAAUAGAAUAUUACGAAAUUCCAUUGUCAA